rnacentral:rRNA from 1 species
CGGCGAACGGGUGAGUAACACGUGGGCAACCUGCCCCAGGCUCUGGAAUAACCCCCGGAAACGGGGGCUAAUGCCGGAUACUCUCGGAACCUCGCAUGAGGAUCCGAGGAAAGGAUCCCGGCCUGGGAUGGGCCCGCGGCCUAUCAGCUUGUUGGUGGGGUAACGGCCUACCAAGGCGACGACGGGUAGCUGGCGUGAGAGCGUGGCCAGCCACACUGGGACUGAGACACGGCCCAG